UACGUAGGGUGCAAGCGUUGUCCGGAAUUAUUGGGCGUAAAGAGCUCGUAGGCGGUUUGUCGCGUCUGUCGUGAAAGCCCACGGCUUAACCGUGGGUCUGCGGUGGAUACGGGCAGACUAGAGGCAGGUAGGGGAGAAUGGAAUUCCCGGUGUAGCGGUGAAAUGCGCAGAUAUCGGGAGGAACACCGGUGGCGAAGGCGGUUCUCUGGGCCGAUACUGACGCUGAGGAGCGAAAGCGUGGGGAGCGAACAGG
rnacentral:rRNA from 1 species